UUUUUAAAGAAUAGAAUGGACUUUCCUGAAACCCAGUGAGUCAUUAUUUUCCAGAAUCCCUUUUUUGUCAUCAUCUCUCUGAGCACUUCAGGUCGAGCUGUGGUGGUGAGGAACUCUGAAAAGUGUGACUCUAUUUCAAUGCCUUUCUCUGUGUUUUGUCCUGAGCAAUGUUCUCGUCUCACUGCUCCCUUUCUCCUUCUCUGCCCAUCAUUCUGCUUUGCCAGGGAUGGUGUUUCUUCUCACUCAAGCAUGGUGAGCCAUAGGAUUUGACUUAAAGGGGGACUGUGUCUGACUCCUGCUCUGCCUCCAGCUUCCCGUCUCCAAUCCAUCCUCUCAACUCAACAGUCAAGACGAUCUUCCUAAUAUACAUCGGAGCUCUGCUCAACAACCUUCAAUGGUUCCCUAUUGCCUUUUGGAUAAAAUCCUACUUUUUCUAUUCAACAAUUAAAUCCCUGCAUGAUGUGGUUCCUGUA